UGUAGAAGCAGCAGCAGGUUUGUGGGAGCAGCAGCGGUAUACUGGGAGCAGUAGUGGGAUUGUGGGAGCAGCAGCGGGAAUGUGGGAGCAGCAGCGGGAUUAUGGGAGAAGCAGCGGGAUUGUGGGAGUAGCAAUGGGUUUGUGGGAGCAGCAGCGGGAUUUGGGGAGCAGUAGUGAGAUUGUGGGAGCAGCAGCGGGAUUGUAGGAGCAGCAGCAGGUUUGUGCGAGCAGCAGCGGGAUACUGGGAGCAGCAGCGGUAUUGUGGGAGCAGCAGCAGGAAUGUGGGAGCAGCAGCGGGAUUAUGGGAGAAGUAGCGGGAUUGUGGGAGCAGCAACGGGUUUGUGGGAGCAGCAGCGGGAUUUGGGGAGCAGUAGCGGGAUUGUGGGAGCAGCAGCGGUAUUGUAGGAGCAGCAGCGGGAAUGUAGGAGCAGCACCGCGUUUGUGGGAGCAGCAGUGGGAAUGUGGGAGCAACAGCGGGAAUGUGGAAGCAGCAGCGGGAUUGUAGGAGCAGCAGCAGGAUUGUGGGAGCAGUAGUGAGAUUGUGGGAGUAGCAGCGGGAUUGUGGUAGUAGCAGCGGGAUUUUGGGAGCAGCAACGGGAUUAUGGGAGCAGUGGUAGGAUUACGGCAGCAGCAACAGUACCGUCUCAACCAUGAGCGAAAGAACAACGCUCUGUUUUUACUUCCCACCUGUAUUCCGACAAGCUAACCCACUCGAGUACGGGCGUGGAGACGUAGCGGAGGUGACGGCGCCAACGUAAAAUGCCGCGCUAUUCCAGAAAUCCUUCAGAAAAUUGCUUGCUGGAGAACAAUUGUGGAUUAUUUUCCAAAGUGACCAGCAGGGAAUUGUGGAGGAAGAUCCGAGAAUUUCCGACAGCAGUCCAGCAGGAUUGCUUUGGUCACGGGGGGAGCUGGAGCCUAUCCCAGGGGUCAUCGGGUGGAAGGCAGGAUACACCC